rnacentral:rRNA from 1 species
UACGUAGGGUGCAAGCGUUGUCCGGAAUUAUUGGGCGUAAAGAGCUCGUAGGCGGUUUGUUGCGUCGGCUGUGAAAUCCCGAGGCUCAACCUCGGGUCUGCAGUCGAUACGAGCAAACUAGAGUGUUGCAGGGGAGACUGGAAUUCCUGGUGUAGCGGUGAAAUGCGCAGAUAUCAGGAGGAACACCGGGUGGCGAAGGCGGGUCUCUGGACAGUUCCUGACGGCUGA